CCCAACUUCGAAAGACGGUAAAGUGGGCUGCGAUUAAUGUGUUAUUUAAAUUGUGCAAAAGGUGAGUAGAGUCGAGCAGAUCUAGAUCUAGAUCUGCCAAAAUCUCAACCCUCUCUCUAGCUCCCUCUCAGUCUCAGUCGAGAGAGACAUCUCUCUUCUCUAUUGGCUCACCGGCCGACUUCUAUGCUCUCUCGCCCUCUCUUUCUUCUCUUCGAGAUCGCCGAGGACUGGAAGGGUCAAGCUCACCGUCCAGAUCGAUGGCCAAGGAAGAGAAGAAAUUUGUGUUGUGUUUGAAGUGAUUUCUUGAAGGGCAGAGAAGAUCUUAUGUUAAUCGAACAGGUAUUGAAGGCUGUCAACAUUCUGAAUAGCAAGUGGAGGAAGCCAGAUGAGUUGGUUUACAUUGCCACCUAUGAUAUUCUUUUCAGCCAGAUUGAAAGACUUGCUGGAAUGUAGUUAAGUUCUAGAGUACAAGAAGUAAUGUUUUUAGUGGAGAAGCCAUAAGCAAGAAGCUUUUGAGCACCUCUUCCAAUUGCCGCUUAUUCGUAGAAGGUUUGCUGUAUCAAAGUAAGAGUUGCAGCCUUGGGGUGGAAGAGUCUUGAGAAGUUUAAAUUUUGAUGGUUUAUCUGUAAAUUUUUAGUUUAGGUAGUUUAAUUCAUGUAAAAAUACAGGUGAGUGUAGAGGUGCCAGUUGGCACCUUAGUUUUUUUAAUCUAGCUUAAUAAUUUUGCCACUGAUAUCAGUGGCAUUUCAAAACCAGCAAUACACACCAUUGACAGUUGCUUUGGCACUGAUUUAGAUGUAAUUAUGCAUUGGUUAAAGGUAUGACACUGUAAAAUUAUUGGUGUGUAAUGCCCCAUUAGCACCUACAAUAGAGGGGACUGAUUUUGCAUUAGUGGCUGUAUAGUGGCUACUGAGAUUAGCCACUUUUAUCAAUGUGUAUUGGGACAAUGGGGACUAUUUCAGAUCA